rnacentral:misc_RNA from 1 species
UCACCCCUCAAGCCCGGCUUGUUGUUGGAUCGAGCCCCGUUAAACGGGCUGGUCCCAAAGAUAAUGACGGCGUCUGAGGACCCCAGUACACUGAGCUUUCGGGCACGUACUUGGUAAGACUUCUAGACACCGUUUAACCAAAGAAGUUGGGGGUUUACCCUCGCUUCUUACUUCCAA